UUUAACAUGAGAGUUUGAUCCUGGCUCAGGAUGAACGCUGGCGGCGUGCCUAAUACAUGCAAGUCGAACGCACAGCGAAAGGUGCUUGCACCUUUCAAGUGAGUGGCGAACGGGUGA
rnacentral:rRNA from 1 species